rnacentral:rRNA from 1 species
UGAACGCUAGCUACAGGCUUAACACAUGCAAGUCGAGGGGCAUCAGGAAGAAAGCUUGCUUUCUUUGCUGGCGACCGGCGCACGGGUGAGUAACACGUAUCCAACCUGCCCUUUACUCGGGGAUAGCCUUUCGAAAGAAAGAUUAAUACCCGAUAGCAUAAUGAUUCCGCAUGGUUUCAUUAUUAAAGGAUUCCGGUAAAGGAUGGGGAUGCGUUCCAUUAGGUUGUUGGUGAGGUAACGGCCCACCAAGCCUUCGAUGGAUAGGGGUUCUGAGAGGAAGGUCCCCCACAUUGGAACUGAGACACGGUCCAAACUCCUACGGGAGGCAGCAGUGAGGAAUAUUGGUCAAUGGGCGCUAGCCUGAACCAGCCAAGUAGCGUGAAGGAUGAAGGCUCUAUGGGUCGUAAACUUCUUUUAUAUAAGAAUAAAGUGCAGUAUGUAUACUGUUUUGUAUGUAUUAUAUGAAUAAGGAUCGGCUAACUCCGUGCCAGCAGCCGCGGUAAUACGGAGGAUCCGAGCGUUAUCCGGAUUUAUUGGGUUUAAAGGGAGCGUAGGUGGACUGGUAAGUCAGUUGUGAAAGUUUGCGGCUCAACCGUAAAAUUGCAGUUGAUACUGUCAGUCUUGAGUACAGUAGAGGUGGGCGGAAUUCGUGGUGUAGCGGUGAAAUGCUUAGAUAUCACGAAGAACUCCGAUUGCGAAGGCAGCUCACUGGACUGCAACUGACACUGAUGCUCGAAAGUGUGGGUAUCAAACAGGAUUAGAUACCCUGGUAGUCCACACAGUAAACGAUGAAUACUCGCUGUUUGCGAUAUACAGUAAGCGGCCAAGCGAAAGCAUUAAGUAUUCCACCUGGGGAGUACGCCGGCAACGGUGAAACUCAAAGGAAUUGACGGGGGCCCGCACAAGCGGAGGAACAUGUGGUUUAAUUCGAUGAUACGCGAGGAACCUUACCCGGGCUUAAAUUGCAGUGGAAUGAUGUGGAAACAUGUCAGUGAGCAAUCACCGCUGUGAAGGUGCUGCAUGGUUGUCGUCAGCUCGUGCCGUGAGGUGUCGGCUUAAGUGCCAUAACGAGCGCAACCCUUAUCUUUAGUUACUAACAGGUUAUGCUGAGGACUCUGGAGAGACUGCCGUCGUAAGAUGUGAGGAAGGUGGGGAUGACGUCAAAUCAGCACGGCCCUUACGUCCGGGGCUACACACGUGUUACAAUGGGGGGUACAGAAGGCAGCUAGCGGGUGACCGUAUGCUAAUCCCAAAAGCCUCUCUCAGUUCGGAUCGAAGUCUGCAACCCGACUUCGUGAAGCUGGAUUCGCUAGUAAUCGCGCAUCAGCCACGGCGCGGUGAAUACGUUCCCGGGCCUUGUACACACCGCCCGUCAAGCCAUGGGAGCCGGGGGUACCUGAAGUACGUAACCGCAAGGAUCGUCCUAGGGUAAAACUGGUGACUGG